CGGAGAAGGAGCCUGAGAAACGGCUACCACAUCCAAGGAAGGCAGCAGGCGCGCAAAUUACCCAAUCCCGACACGGGGAGGUAGUGACAAUAAAUACUGAUACAGGGCUCUUUUGGGUCUUGUAAUUGGAAUGAGUACAAUUUAAAUCCCUUAACGAGGAACAAUUGGAGGGCAAGUCUGGUGCCAGCAGCCGCGGUAAUUCCAGCUCCAAUAGCGUAUAUUAAAGUUGUUGCAGUUAAAAAGCUCGUAGUUGAACCUUGGGCCUGGCUGGCCGGUCCGCCUCACCGCGUGCACUGGUCCGGCCGGGCCUUUCCUUCUGGGGAGCCGCAUGCCCUUCACUGGGUGUGUCGGGGAACCAGGACUUUUACUUUGAAAAAAUUAGAGUGUUCAAAGCAGGCCUAUGCUCGAAUACAUUAGCAUGGAAUAAUAGAAUAGGACGUGUGGUUCUAUUUUGUUGGUUUCUAGGACCGCCGUAAUGAUUAAUAGGGAUAGUCGGGGGCAUCAGUAUUCAAUUGUCAGAGGUGAAAUUCUUGGAUUUAUUGAAGACUAACUACUGCGAAAGCAUUUGCCAGGGAUGUUUUCAUUAAUCAGUGAACGAAAGUUAGGGGAUC
rnacentral:rRNA from 1 species